AAUAGUAAUAAAUGAAUGAUUGAUUAAUAUCACUAUUAGGUAUUUACACAAAGAAAAUGAAAACACUAAUUUGAAGUGAUGUAUGCAUCCCUAUGUUUGUUGUAGCAUUAUUUACAAAAGCCAAGUAUGGAAGCAACUUCAGAGUUCACUGAUUGAGGAAUGGAUAAGGAAAAGUUGGUUUAUAUACAUAAUCGAAUAUUACCCAGACAUAAAAAAGGAUGAGAUUGUGCUAUUUGUGACAAUAUGAAUGGACCUAGAGGGUAUUAUGCUAAGUGAAAUAAGUCAGACUGAGAAACACAAAUGCCAUAUGAGUUAACUCCUAUGUGGAAAUGUGGAAUCUAAAAAAAAAAAAAAAAAAGGGAGAGAAAUGAAUAAACAAGCGAGCAAAAAAGCAGAAUCAGACCUGUAAACACAGAGCACAGCUAGCAUAAUGUUUAAACUUGUUGAGUCACUAGGUUGUACAUCUGAAGCUCAUGUAACAUAGUGUGUCUACUAUACUCAAAUAAAAAAAUUAAUAAAAAAUUAAAAUAACAUAAGUUAAGCUUUAUUUUAUUACAGGUUUUUAAAAAGCGUGUUUAAUCAUUUCCACCAACUGGCACAUUAUAAAAACACAAUUCAUUUUACCUUAGUCCUUCUUUCAUGGCUUAGGUAUUUCUCUGAAACUGUUUGAAACACACAUGAAGAAAGAUAGAUAUUCUAUGGCUGCUAAAGCAGAAAGUAUAAUAUUAACCGCAUUAACAUCAGAAUAAUUUAUAUUCUGAGCAAGAAAAAUCAUUAAUGGCCAGUGAGCAGCCAGUGAGCAGUGUUUGCUGAUAAAGGAGCUGAGACAUGAGCCUGAUGAGCUGGGGGAGAGCAGUGAAGUUUGCUGUUUGGUGUCCUUCCUGCAGUACCUCCAGGUGUCCUUCCAGGGUCCUUAGGGAACAUCUUCCCUGUGCUUUGUCAUUCCUUCAUGUUUCUCCCUCCCAACAUGGGAUCCAAGGACUGGAAUUCAGAGGAGAUAAGCUUUCUGGCCGUGUCAUUCUGGGCCAUUGCUGAGUCCAAUGUCCUCUUCCUGCUCCUUUUUCACCUAGAGUUGUGUAGAGCUGGGGGCUGGUCUGGGCUUGAGGACUGGGAGGUGGGGGGAGUGUCCUUGCAGGUCCAGCCUUCCCUCCUCUAGGAAGUUCCUGGAUUAAAGGCUAAUAGAUGGCAGGGCUCAUGUCUUCCUUCAUCUCUGUGUGCAUGUGUGAAAAUGAAGUGUCAUAAAUACAACUUGUGUAGCCCAGUUCCUGGCACUUAGGAGGAGCGCAGUCAAAUUUGUUUUCCUUCCCUCAGUCUUUUCAUCAAACUCCCCUAAUGUCUCUUAGGUCUUGAGGAGUCUCCCUCAAGCAGACUUGAGGGCAGGGAUUGGUGGGGGCCAUGGUGGAUGGAUCUGGAGGCUAAUAUAGGUCCUUAUCUCAUUAGUUUACUUUGCAUUAAGUUGCAUUUUGCCAACAUUGACAAGUCUAAGUGGAUAUUGGAAGAAAUGGACAUUUGGGGAUAAAAAAUCAGAUGUUACAGGUCUCUCCAGAUGUCCUGGGUGUGUUUAGAUUUUUAAUAUCUCAGACCAGACUUCUGAGCAGAAGCCAAUCACUCUCGUGUAUCAGUGUAUCAGGCAGUCCUUGUUUCAUGAAAACAAAUAUAGCAGAUCAUUCAGGACAAUCAAGAGUGAGCACAGGAUGAGAGACUCUUUGCCAAGUAUGUGGUUGUGGAACUGAGACAGAUUUGGUUUCCUCACGUGCAGAAUGAAGACAGUAAUGACAACAACAUGGCAGAAGUGUGACCAGGGAGGCUCUAGGCCAAGUUAUUGUCUUAACACCAAUCACUUAACAUGUGAACACCUGAGAACUGGGCAGGCUUAAGUGAGCAAACAAAGGUGUUUGGUUGUUGAAUCUGACGAUUCUAUCCGGGGGACAUUUCACUGAUGAACUAACUUAUGUUUGGGGUAAGAAGAAAAGUGGAAAAGAUGGUGGAGUUGUUGUAUCCACCAAGGGGCUGACUUGUUUAGGUCAGCGUUUUAACAGUCUUUGUGUUUCUCAAUGGACCGAAAUGUUUGCCCAAUUUAGAUAAGGCUGAGUAGCCAAUGGGCUGCUGCAGUGAGUCCUCUGCAAAUGAGCUCAACAAAGUUUAUUGAGUGUUUACUAUGUGCUGGACACGUGAGCAGGGCACACAGGGCCUCCCUUUGUGAAUGUCACAGACAUACCCCAGAAGAAUGCUUGUCAGGGCUAUUGUGAAAGCAGGGUGUCAUUAAACUCCAACAAGCGUGUGUUUGGGGCAUGUAUGGGGAUGAAUAGGUUGGCGAGGGCUCCUCUGAGGAAGGUCACUUUAGGUGAGACUGGAAUGUUGAGGGGUGUGGGGGACAAGAGAGCAAGCAGGAUCAACCAGUGGCUUGUGAGAAGGCCUGAGGAUGGCAAAGCUCCAUGAACUGGAGGGAGUCACCCAAGCCAGUGAGGGAGCAACUGGGAGAGUGUGGAAAGAGGUCAGAGAGGAAGCCUGGGAUUGGGGGUCACAGACAAGAGGCUGAUAGGGGGAUUCCUUGAACAGAUGAGGCAGAUCUGACACAAGCUGAUUUGAAAGGAUCAUGACCUUGGAAGGAAAAUGAACUUGAGGAGGUCAGGCUGGAGGUGAGCAGGGGACACUCAUGGGAAAGCAGGAACACCCUUCUUGGGCCAGGGGGGAUGAGGGUGGUCAGGAGCCAGGUAAUGGCCAUGGAUAUGGAUUUGAGAAAAGUCUUGAACAUUCUGGUACAUGGGAGGUAGACUGGGUGGAAAAACGGAGUGUAUAGUGGAAUAUGCCUCCAGUUUAUGGCAGAGAUAACUGAGUUCACCCAGUUAUCCUUUACUGAGAUGGGAACCUGCAGGUAGGGAGGGGCUGGUGAGGAAGCCCUGGUGCUCCCUGGUUUUCUUUCGGAGACCAUAGAAUCUGCCUUUUUUUGUGCACACUGUGGCCUGCCAGGGAGCGGGCUGAAUUGUUGUACCAAAGCCAUGUGUGAGAACAAAAUACUAAGAAGCAAUAGGUCAAUGUCCAUUCAUUUGGUCAGGGCCAGGGUCCUGGAGUUGAUUCUGGAAGCUUCUGUUGCUCAGUCUUAACCUCUCUGCUGCCAAGUUGUGGGGAGCACCUUGGUGGUCUCCUGGUGAAAAAAACACAUAGCAACUACACUGGGACUCCUCAAUGGCUCUGGCCACAUGUGAUUCACAAAUAGACAUGUAAUCAUCUGGGUAGUGAAGAGCCAGUACAGAGAGCCCCAUGCACAGGGAUAGGUAUUAAUCUUGGCUCUGCCACACAGACUCCCUGCUUUUGGUCUAGAAGUUAGCCAAAGUGGAGAGAAGCAGUGCUUCAACAAAGGAUUGCUGAAUCUGGGCCUCAGUUUGUCCUCAUGCAGGGUGGGUUAGUCCUGUAUUUCUGGUUCUGGUCAUGCGGUUUCAUUCCUGAUAAUGGGGGUGCAUAUCCAGAAGAUAGGGCAGAGUCUGCUGGGAUUGUUUUUUGUAAGCUUUCACUUUCAAAUGGUGCAGGAGCCAGAGAAAGGUGGACUCUCCUGUCUGGGAGAGCUUAGUGGGGGUCCAGGACCCUGUUUUGGCUCAGACCCCUGUAACCCGUUCAGGUUCUGCUUCCCCACUCACCUGGGAACCACCUGCCUCUCAGGCAAAAAGACCCUAUGGCACCCAACGUUGGAUUUGGAAGCAGGGUUUGGGGCUCAGAGCAGCUAACUGCAGGUGCAAUCUCUGAGAGCAGAUCUGGGGUCUGCUGAGAUCUCACACUACUGAGUUAGAGACAUUCCAGAAGUCUCAGCUUUUUAAACAGAUAAGUUGGUUCUGAUGAUGCUUUCGGCCAAUAAAAGGAAAGGUGGGAGCAGCUGGCUUUGAGGAAGUGGCUGAGAUUGUGGUGAGGGUGGUGGUGCUGGGUAAUAAUGAGGCUCUGAGAAGACCCAGGACAAAUACAGUGAUGUCUGCACUUCAUUCAUUUAUUGCCAUUUGUGUAGCACUACAUCCUUGUAUCUUGGGGUGAGAUCCCGUUACUAUCCCCACUUGACAUUGAGGAAACUGGGGCAGAACAGGUCAAGAAACUAGCCUAAGGCGGUUGCCUAGAGAGUGGCUGAAUCUGGCCACUAGAGAAGUCAGCAGUCACCUCCAGAAUCUGUUCUUCUCAGUACUAUUUGCUGCCGGACCCCCACUCCACCCAGCAGUAGGUGGUUUGAAGCCCUUUUUUGUCUGACCAGGACAAAUUUUAUCUUCUCUCUGCUCUCUCUCCUGGGAUCCUCUUAUUUUUUUUUUAAGUAGGCUUCACGUGCCGUGCCAACGUGGGGCUUGAACUCAUGACUUGAGAACAAGACCUGAGCUGGAAUUAAGGGUCAGAUAUUUAACCGACUAAGCUACCCAGGCAGCCCCCUCCUGGAUUCCUUUGUCCUGAGGCAGAAACUCCUCAGAGAUAUAGAGGAUGAGGAUCAACUUUUCAUGGGGAAUUGAUGGAGCCCUCUGUUGAGAGUAAGGCCAGGUCCUUUGUCCUGAGCAGCAACAGGCUGGGGGGAGGUGGGAGCUGAAAUUUGGGUGAACUCAAUAAGCAAACGGCCUCAAUACAGGAUGCGUGUGGUGGGAACCACAAUGUCCUUGAGGAGGAUGUUGUCUGACACUCAUGCUUCUCAGUGGUUCCUGGUCAUAAUUAGGGGGCAGGAGAAGAACAGCACACAGGACCUGGCGGGUCCUUCACGGGCAGGGGCCUGAGUCUGGGCCUGUGUCCCUGGGCAUCUCUGGUGGUCUGCGACUCAUACAGACUUGGAGGAGGCCCUGUACUAAGGCAGGAGGGUUCUGGUCCUAUGAGCAGAGCAGUCUGCGAAAGCUUUCUGAGGGACUGGGAGGGAUUUCUUGGUACCAGGGUUGUGGGGGUUCCCAGCCCCAUCAGCAUAAUGACUAGUAACAAAAACUCUUCUUGUUCUGGGGAUUAUUAUCAGCCUUGAGCCCUUCUGUCUGUUCUGAGGCCCAGAGCUGUGGGCUGGCCCUCCUCAUCUCUGUAGGUGUUCUCCUGCCUCCUGCCCUGUGUCUCCCCAGCCCUGAGGAAAUGGAGGAUUGCCGCAGAGGCUCUUUGCUCUCCCGUCUCACCUCCCUGCUUCUCUUCUUCCAGUUGCCUGCUGGGGAGUCUGCAGGUAUCAUCCCAAAUAUGCCUGAGGACAUCCCGAGGAAGUACAUGCUAGAAUAAUCUCCAUUGCACAGGGAGGACACAGACCAUCCCUGAGAGGCACAAUGGCUUAUCCAGGGUCAAAAUCAGAACUGCACACCAGAGAUAGGGCAGGAGUUGAGUGAUGAGAUCCUCUGCUCAACUUCCGUGAAGGACAGGAAUAUGCCCCACACCACCAACAGGAUGCAGGCCCGAAGCGGCUCAGGGGUAAAAAUGCCUCAACCGUGAAUAAGAAUGAGAGCAGUGUGGUGUGGACCAUCUAGGCAGGCUUGCUGGAUAAGCAAGUGUAGCAUCCUGUGCCUGUCUUCCUGGGCAGAGACCGCUGCCCCCCCGCCCCCAUGUCUCCAUGCUCCUGGACAUGUACAGAACUUUUCCACUACUGAAAAGGUGCUGGAUCUGUUGAUUCCACGGUAUGGAUGCAUCCAUCCUGAAAUGGGAUGAAGAUGGAAGACCCCAGGAGCAGCAGAAAAUGGCCAUCUUCUCCAUUCUGGGCACCUGGAUGGACCACUCCCCUGAGGAUUUUUUCCAACCUGCAGAAUUUCCCUGCCUGAAGAUGCUGCUGGCAUAUGUGGGGCUUAACAUGCUGGGCUCACACCUGGAGCACCAUGCCUAUGUUUUCCUCUCAUAACUGGGACACAUGGAGCCCAAUGAACCAGAGGUUGAGGCUAUAGCACCCGUUCCGGAGCAGGAUCCAGAACCAACUCAAGAGCUAGCCCCAGCUCCCACUGUGGUGCCUGCUGCAGCUUCAGAGCCCAAGGUGGCUGAAGCCAUCACUCCUGCUGGAGCUCAGCAAUUAGGAAAAGCAGUGACCCUCCCUGCAGUGUCAGAGCCAGUGCAGGUGGUAGUUAUAGCUCUGAUUCACUGUCAGGAGCUGGAAGAGCCACCUGCACCUUUGGCAGCCCUGGAGCAUGAGCAGGCUCCAGCCCCAGCUACUGGGGUUAUGGAAGGACUAGAACAACCACUUGCUACAGCUGAACAACCAGCCUCAGCUCCCAAGCAGUGGCUCAUGUUGCCUGCAGCCCCAAAGGAUGGCUUCCCCUCCCCUGUCGUUGCUUUUUUUUUUGAAAUUUUUGUGUUUUUAUUCAGAUAUGGAAUGGCUUAGUGUAUUUUGUUUUAUAAGUAAAGUAUAAAUUGACUUCAAGUAAAGUUUGACUCUGAUCCUUUUAAAUUGGAUGUUGAAGUGUCAUUAGGUACUUUGACAAUGUUGUACAACCAUGACCACUAGGUACUGCUAGAACACUUCCAUCACAGAGACACCUGUGCUACUGAUCGGUCACUGCUCAUUCCCUCACCCCAAUCCCUGGAACCACUGGUCUCUCUGUUUCUGUUGCUUUACC